AGGACGAACGCUGGCGGCGUGCUUAACACAUGCAAGUCGAGCGGAAAGGCCCUUCGGGGUACUCGAGCGGCGAACGGGUGAGUAACACGUGAGCAACCUGCCCUUAGCUUCGGGAUAGCUCCGGGAAACCGGAAUUAAUACCGGAUAUGACUAUGGCCGACAUCAGCCAUGGUGGAAAGUUUUUCGGCUAGGGAUGGACUCGCGGCCUAUCAGCUAGUUGGUGAGGUAACGGCUCACCAAGGCGACGACGGGUAGCCGGCCUGAGAGGGCGACCGGCCACACUGGGACUGAGACACGGCCCAGACUCCUACGGGAGGCAGCAGUGGGGAAUAUUGCGCAAUGGGCGAAAGCCUGACGCAGCGACGCCGCGUGGGGAUGAAUGCCUUCGGGUUGUAACCCCUUUCAGCAGGGACGAAGCGAAAGUGACGGUACCUGCAGAGAAGCGCCGGCUAACUACGUGCCAGCAGCCGC
rnacentral:rRNA from 1 species